rnacentral:rRNA from 1 species
UACGGAGGGAGCUAGCGUUGUUCGGAAUUACUGGGCGUAAAGAGCUCGUAGGUGGUUUGUCGCGUUGUUCGUGAAAACUCACAGCUCAACUGUGGGCGUGCGGGCGAUACGGGCAGACUGGAGUACUGCAGGGGAGACUGGAAUUCCUGGUGUAGCGGUGGAAUGCGCAGAUAUCAGGAGGAACACCGGUGGCGAAGGCGGGUCUCUGGGCAGUAACUGACGCUGAGAAGCGAAAGCAUGGGGAGCGAACAGG